UGUAAUAAUAGUAAUAUGAAUAUCACUUUAUAAUGUUGUAGAAAUGCCUAACAGGAUGUAAUUGUUGUGUUUCUACCCAGUAAAUUCUGUAAGUCCUGAUGUUUUAUAUGUGAACAAGAGGAAGUUGAGAAAUAAAGUCGACAAUGAAAGGGGGAAAAAAAGGUUGGCUUAGGAUGUCGCUGCCAGACAUGAUCAACGUGCUGUAACCAAGCCAUCUCUUGAUGAUAAAUGUCAGUGAAGCAGCACCCACCCCAGCCAUACAUAGCAUGACAUCAGGGGAGGGAAGAGACUGAAAGAAAGAGACCGAGCAUGGACCCGGCGCUCACGUUUGAACGGGCACAGAGCAUUUCACCU